rnacentral:rRNA from 1 species
CCUACGGGUGGCUGCAGUGGGGAAUAUUGGACAAUGGGCGAAAGCCUGAUCCAGCCAUGCCGCGUGUGUGAAGAAGGCCUUCGGGUUGUAAAGCACUUUCAGUGGGGAAGAAAGCCUUGGGGCUAAUACCCUCGAGGAAGGACAUUACCCACAGAAGAAGCACCGGCUAACUCCGUGCCAGCAGCCGCGGUAAUACGGAGGGUGCGAGCGUUAAUCGGAAUUACUGGGCGUAAAGCGCGCGUAGGCGGUCUGAUAAGCCGGUUGUGAAAGCCCCGGGCUCAACCUGGGAACGGCAUCCGGAACUGUCAGGCUAGAGUGCAGGAGAGGAAGGUAGAAUUCCCGGUGUAGCGGUGAAAUGCGUAGAGAUCGGGAGGAAUACCAGUGGCGAAGGCGGCCUUCUGGACUGACACUGACGCUGAGGUGCGAAAGCGUGGGUAGCAAACAGGAUUAGAUACCCUAGUAGUC